rnacentral:misc_RNA from 1 species
CCACAGCUCACCUACCUUCGCAUGCAUACGGCUCAGCCCUGGAGAUUCAGGACGAGGCGUCCCGCCAUCGAGUCGGGCCACGCGCCUAGCGGGGCUCCUCUCGCUCUUCCCCCGGAUGCGCGCUGCUCCACCGGCGCCACACGCACCUGCGUGGGCUGCACGCGUCGCACCAGGCGGGGCAGCGCCCAUGAGCCCGUUCCACCACGGCACUGCUGCCUGAGGGAGGGAGGGAGGCGUGCCUGGAUGGCCUGCCCGCGUGUGCCGCCACGCCCGCCAGUGUCUCCGGCGCAGCGCCAGCGCAGCCCUCUGCCCCGCCCACACCAACAGUCCGCAGCCAGCACCCAGGGCCAGGCUGCAGGCCGCUUGGCGUCCCCCACAGAGUGGUGUACGGAACCCUUGGUGCCACGCGCUGACGUAGCCCGCUUCCCCUUCAUCAGGGCAGAGGUCGAGGUUGACAGCGACGAGCUCGAUGCGUUUUCGCGAAAGCAUCCGUUGCUGCGGAGCAGCGCGUCGGAAGUCGUGUGUCUUUAGCUCCGCUGAAACGCCGGUUGCAUGCCCAUGCAUCCCCUCGACUCUCUUUAUUUUUUUUUUUUGCUUUGCCAUCUGGUUAG